rnacentral:rRNA from 1 species
GAAGCGGCAACAGCUCAAAUUUGAAAUCUGGCGCAAGCCCGAGUUGUAAUUUGUAGAGGAUGUUUCAGGGCAGCGGCCGGUCUAAGUUCCUUGGAACAGGACGUCAUAGAGGGUGAGAAUCCCGUAUGCGACCGGUUGGCACCCGUCACGAAACUCCUUCGACGAGUCGAGUUGUUUGGGAAUGCAGCUCUAAAUGGGAGGUAAAUUUCUUCUAAAGCUAAAUACCGGCCAGAGACCGAUAGCGCACAAGUAGAGUGAUCGAAAGAUGAAAAGCACUUUGGAAAGAGAGUUAAAAAGCACGUGAAAUUGUUGAAAGGGAAGCGCAUGCAACCAGACUUGUCGGCGGUGUUCCGCCGGUCUUCUGACCGGUCUACUCGCUGCCGGCAGGCCAGCAUCACUUGGGGCCGUUGGAUAAAGGCUCGGGAAUGUAGCUCCUCGGAGUGUUAUAGCCCGGCGCACAAUACGACGUGUCCCGAGUGAGGUCCGCGCUUCGGCUAGGAUGCUGGCGUAAUGGUCGUUUGCGGCCCGUCUUGAAACACGGACCAAGGAGUCUAACAUCUAUGCGAGUGUUCGGGUGUCAAACCCCUACGCGUAAUGAAAGUAAACGGAGGUGGGAGCUUCGGCGCACCAUCGACCGAUCCUGAUGUCUUCGGAUGGAUUUGAGUAUGAGCAUAGCUGUUGGGACCCGAAAGAUGGUGAACUAUGCCUGAAUAGGGUGAAGCCAGAGGAAACUCUGGUGGA